GCACUUUUGUCCGGAAAGAAAACUUCUGCCCUAAUACGGUGGGAGGAUGACGGUACCGGAAGAAUAAGCACCGGCUAACUACGUGCCAGCAGCCGCGGUAAUACGUAGGGUGCAAGCGUUAAUCGGAAUUACUGGGCGUAAAGCGUGCGCAGGCGGUCCGCUAAGACAGAUGUGAAAUCCCCGGGCUUAACCUGGGAACUGCAUUUGUGACUGGCGGGCUAGAGUAUGGCAGAGGGGGGUAGAAUUCCACGUGUAGCAGUGAAAUGCGUAGAGAUGUGGAGGAAUACCGAUGGCGAAGGCAGCCCCCUGGGCCAAUACUGACGCUCAUGCACGAAAGCGUGGGGAGCAAACAGGAUUAGAUACCCUGGUAGUCCACGCCCU
rnacentral:rRNA from 1 species